CAACUACUGCCUCUGUCCCAAAUUUCUUGUCUUAAAUUUGUCUAGAUACUAAAAUGUGAGUUGAUACAUCCGUAUCUAGAAAAAUCUAAGACAAGAAUUUUGGGAUGGAGGGAGUACUUU
rfam:Triticum urartu cultivar G1812 contig1125160, whole genome shotgun sequence.